ACAGUGAUCCAAUUGCCUCUGCCUCACCAGUGUUGGGAUUACAGGCAUGCACCACCACCGUCUGGCUCUUAACUAAUUACUUUUAAUAUUUUUGUUUCCUAUAUAUUUUGCAUUGAGUUUGCCUAGUUCUUUGGGUGUUUAAAAACUAGAUUAAUUGAAAUUUGAUAUUUUGGGGGUUGGAGAGAUGGUUCAGCAGUUAAGAGCACUUGCUGCUUUUCCAGAAGAGCUGAGUUCAGUUCCCGGUACUUCCAUGUUGGGAGGCUCACAAGGGGUCAGACGUGCUUGUCUGACCUCCAUGGGAGGCAUACAUUCACACACACACGUAUACAUAAAGAGCAUUAACAGCAGAUCUUUUAAUAAUUAUUAUUUAAUUUUAAAAAGUCUUACAAAAGGAAUUUUGAUGUUUUUCUCCAAAGGAUAAUUUUAUCAUUUUGAAAUUAUUUACAUGCUAAAUUGUUACAAUAUUAAAUUCGAUAUUUGUUUUGGUUUUGUUUUCUUUUGAGACAGUGUAUUUCUAUGCAAGCCUUGCUGGCCUGGAAUACACUGUGUAGAUCAAGAUGGCCUUGAACUCACAGAGACCUGCCUGCGUCUACUUUUCAGAGCUGGAAUGAGAGUGUGCACCACCACACUAGGCUAUCUGUGACAUCUGUAUUGAGAUUACCCUGUAAGAAAAGAGUGAGAGCGAACUCAAGGGAAGAGUUUGCAAUUGUGUGGCUCGUCACUCUUUGCUGUCUAAACAGAGUUAAAUAGUUCCACCUUUCACACUUUGCGGUGCUGAGUUGUGUAUGAAGAGCCUGAGUUGUAUAGGGUACAUUUCUGGAACUCCUCAGCUUGAAAUAGCAAAAAGCUACAUUGUUUGAGGAAUUAAAAUCACUUUCCUCUAUGAAUCAUAAUUUGUAUAGUUGACUUUAUGAGAAUAGUAUAGCAAGUUUAUGGUAAAUAUUCCUAACUUUCUGUUCACACAGAAAGCCGACAUGUGUUGAAGAUCUGUGGGGUUCUGGGUGUGCAUCAUCUCAUUCAGCAUCAGAGUGGCCCUGCAGAUAGGAUGCAGGCGCCGAGUACUUAGUAGUGUUGCCAAGGUCAUACAGCAAGUGGGAGAUUUCAGAUGUGAUCUCAGGCAGCCCGUCUCGGGCCUGCCCCUGUCCCUGGGCUCUGGGUCUUUACUGUUUUACGCACACACACACCAUGCUUGUGCUCAGUCCUAUCCCGGCAUCAGUUUCCAACAGAAGUGAAUGAGACCUAAUUUCCCCACAUCAUCAGCAGCACAGAACACUGAAAUUUUUAGAUUUGUACUUAUUAAUUAAUGGAAGAAUGAUCAUCUUCCCCUAAUUCUACUUUUAAGGUAAGAAUGAGUUAAAGGGAUAGAGGUGUGGCUCAGUGCUAGAGCAGAUACUAGCCUAUCAUUUCCCUUAUCAUUUAAUAGGAACUGUAUAUUAUAGACAUUUCCUUUUUCUGUUAAUACAAGAUACAGACCCUUCAUCAGUUUUUAUUUGGUUUAUGGUAUUUUACUGAUAUUUUUGAUUUCUCAGUUUUAACUUGUGUCUUUAGAUUUUAAAUCAUGUUGUAAAGGCCUGUUCUAUUCUGAGGCUAAGAAGUUUUUCCUUGUUUAUUCUAGAACUCUGACUUUCUCACUUCCCAUGCUUAGGUCUUCUGCCCUUCUAGAAUUCAACCUGGCAGGCACCUGAGAUACUGUUCCAGAGUUCUGAUGGUUUUCCUCCCCAGCCGUUUAUGCAAUGCCUGUGUGUUUCCCGCUGUUUGGACUGUCAGCACCAUGUGCUGCCCGCCCGCCCGCCUUGCCUCUGCUCCAGUCUGUUGGUUGGGGUCUGUUUCAGCUGCCAUCCCUCCUGUUUCCUCAGAUAUGGCCUAAAAUAAGUCAGGGUCACUUUCCUCUCAUCUGCCUUUUCUUCAGUUCUCUUGAUUGGUGCUGAUUGAGAUUUAAAAGAUGAUAUUUAGAUCUGUUUACUGUGUUCUAGUGAGCAACAAAACCCCAGAAAACAAACCGGAAACAACCCGUGUCCUGGCUCUGCUCCCUGCAGAUCUAGGGUCACAGGUAGCCACACCCAGAUUUUCAUGUGAGUGUAGAUCUGAACUCAGGUUCUCACAUUUGUGCAACAAUCACUUUUGCCCACGGGGGCAUCUCUCUGGUCCCCAUAUUAAACUGUAUUCUGUAGCGGACAACAUACAGUGUCUCAGUUUCCAUUCAAGAUAUUGCUGAAAGUGACUCAUUUUCAUCUCCAGCAAACCGUGUACACUUUGGCCUCCUCGAUAUUUCUCCUCUUGCAAAUGAAGAGUUUAAAACCGUAUAAUUCAAUUAGUGAAGAAUCUUCAACUAUUUGAGAUCCUGUCUGAUGUGGCUUCCUGCGUGGUUGACCAUUCAGGAAGAAAGCAUACAUUGGCAGCUCUCCCAGGGAGAUCACAAUCAGGAGGAAAGCAAAUUUCUCAGGGGAAACACAAGGCUGGCCAUCUGCGUCAAAGAGGAGCAUGGAAUGGACCUUGCUAACACCGUGGUCUCCACAUUCCGGUCUCCAGGACCACAGACAAUGCAUUUCUGGUCUUUAAGCACCACCUUCCUCCACAAAUGAACGGCCUUGGAAAUGGAAUUAGGAAAUCCAACUGGAGAGCACCAGCGGACCCUAUGGAAACAAAAAAAAGUGUCUCAGAUCCCCAGAGAACAGAGACUACAUCUCCUGGACACAAGCUCCCCAAGGUGUGUGACAGCCUGAAACAAUGAGAAUAUAGUGAACAGAUGCUGGCUGAAUGAACCAGAUGUGGAUAAUGUUCUUGAUGGAUUCUUAUUGAUCGAGGAAAAGGGAUAACACCAGCCAAGAGUGGGCACUCUAAAGGAGGAAGGCAGUUUAUUGUAGUGAAACUGCACUGCAGUUUUAUACAUGACCCCUCAAUGCAUACAACAUCACGUUACUCCACACUGUUGCACGAGACGCCACUGAACUGCAGAGGCUCAAAGUGCUCUGCACGAGUUAAUACCGACACAACGCGUUUCCACUGCGCCGCCCACAUUCCAUUAGAUAUUGAAAGACCUCCUGCCAGACUGACAGCUCCCACAUGGCGCAUAGUGUCUCUCAGUGUUCUCCUUC